rnacentral:miRNA from 1 species
CUCAAAAGUGCCUCUGAGCCUGGCAUGCCUAUAAUCCCAGCGGCUCAGGAGGCUGAGGCAGGAGGAU